rnacentral:rRNA from 1 species
UACAGAGGGGGCAAGCGUUGUUCGGAAUUACUGGGCGUAAAGGGCGCGUAGGCGGCCUGUUAAGUCGAACGUGAAAUCCCCGGGCUCAACCCGGGAACUGCGUCCGAUACUGGCAGGCUUGAAUCCGGGAGAGGGAUGCGGAAUUCCAGGUGUAGCGGUGAAAUGUGUAGAUAUCGGGAGGAACAUCAGUGGCGAAGGCGGCCAUCUGGGACAACACUGACGCUGAAGCACGAAAGCGUGGGGAGCAAACAGG